rnacentral:tRNA from 1 species
AAAGUUGUAGUUAAUUAUAACAUUUAAUUUGCAGUUAAAAAGUUCUUAGAUGACUACUUUA